rnacentral:lncRNA from 1 species
AGCUGGUUAAAUGGAAUGUCAAGAAUCAGGAACUGAGGCUUUAAAAGAGCUUCGGCAAGAAGAGCCGAUCGACAGGAUCGGAUAUGUGAGUGAUUCGGCCCAUCAGGCUGAUGACGUGAUAUGUAACAAUACGGCUGAAAUGGCCGGUGAUAAUAUGGUGAAAUCGGUUGUUAAAGCCGAUGAAGAAAAAAUAGAUGAAUUAAGAUGGCGAACAACCGAAUUGAACUUAGAAGAGUCGCCUAUCAAAGUCGGUG